rnacentral:rRNA from 1 species
CAGCAGCCACGGGAAUACGAAGGGGGCUAGCGUUGCUCGGAAUUACUGGGCGUAAAGCGCGCGUAGGUGGUUUGUUAAGUUGGAUGUGAAAUCCCCGGGCUCAACCUGGGAACUGCAUCCAAAACUGGCAAGCUAGAGUAUGGUAGAGGGUGGUGGAAUUUCCUGUGUAGCGGUGAAAUGCGUAGAUAUAGGAAGGAACACCAGUGGCGAAGGCGACCACCUGGACUGAUACUGACACUGAGGUGCGAAAGCGUGGGGAGCAAACAGGAUUAGAUACCCCUGUAGUCCCUGUCUCUUAUAU